UGCAAGUCAACUUGACUGAAGGAGCAAUCUGACAGUAGAGUGGCGCAAGGGUGCGUAACGCGUAAGUAACUUGCCCAAGGUAAGGAAUAACGUCGAGAAAUCGGCGCUAAUACCUCAUAAUGCAGCGGAUCCGCAUGGAUAUGUUGUUAAAGGUUUACCGCCUUGGGAUAGGCUUGCGUCUGAUUAGUUAGUUGGUGUGGUAACGGCACACCAAGGCUACGAUCAGUAACUGGUCUGAGAGGAUGAUCAGUCACACUGGAACUGAGACACGGUCCAGACUCCUACGGGAGGCAGCAGUGAGGAAUAUUGGGCAAUGCUCGAAAGAGUGACCCAGCAACGCCGCGUGGAGGAUGAAGGUAUUCUAUAUCGUAAACUCCUGUGAGAGCAGACGAAAGACAGAUUAUUAAUCUGGAUGACUGUAUGCUCAGAGGAAGCCCCGGCUAACUACGUG
rnacentral:rRNA from 1 species